rnacentral:lncRNA from 1 species
GAAUGUAAGCGAUCGGUUUGGAAGAUGUGUUGAGAGACAAACAAUUUCCUUAGUUCCUCAAAUGAAUUUACUGUCUCGGGUGGAAGAAGACAAUACCAAUUUAAAGCUCUGCCAGAGAGGGUGGAAGGGAAGAGAAGACAUCGCUCUUCGUCGGCGUGCAUCCAAUAUGGCAUGGUGGACUUAAAGAAGUUAAGGUGUUCAAUCGAGUCCUCCCUUCCAGUAUAAGAUUGUAGGGAAUUCUAUGAGAUUCAUGUGG